rnacentral:rRNA from 1 species
CACGUAGGGUGCGAGCGUUGUCCGGAUUUAUUGGGCGUAAAGAGCUCGUAGGCGGUUUGGUAAGUCGGAUGUGAAAUCUCCAGGCUCAACUUGGAGGGGUCAUUCGGUACUGCCAUGACUAGAGUUCGGUAGGGGAGUGUGGAAUACCUGGUGGAGCGGUGAAAUGCGCAGAUAUCAGGUGGAACACCCGUAGCGAAGGCGGCACUCUGGGCCGGAACUGACGCUGAGGCGCGAAAGCUAGGGGAGCAAACAGG